GAUGAAGAACGCAGCGAAAUGCGCUGCGUAAUGUGAAUUGCAGAAUUCAGUGAAUCAUCGAAUCUUUGAACGCACAUUGCGCCCGCCAGCACUCUGGCGGGCAUGCCUGUUCGAGCGUCAUUUCAACCAUCAAGCCCCAGGCUUGCGUUGGAGCCCUGCGGCUGCCGCAGCCUCCUAAAAGCAGUGGCGGGCUCGCUAUCACACCGAGUGCAGUAGAUUACUCUUCGCUCAGGGCGUGCAGCGGGUUCCGGCCGUGAAACCCCCUACUUUUAAAGGUUGACCUCGGAUCAGGUAGGAAUACCCGCUGAACUUAAGCAUAUCAAUAAGCGGAGGA
rnacentral:misc_RNA from 1 species